rnacentral:rRNA from 1 species
UACGUAGGUCCCGAGCGUUGUCCGGAUUUAUUGGGCGUAAAGCGAGCGCAGGUGGUUUAUUAAGUCUGGUGUAAAAGGCAGUGGCUCAACCAUUGUAUGCAUUGGAAACUGGUAGACUUGAGUGCAGGAGAGGAGAGUGGAAUUCCAUGUGUAGCGGUGAAAUGCGUAGAUAUAUGGAGGAACACCGGUGGCGAAAGCGGCUCUCUGGCCUGUAACUGACACUGAGGCUCGAAAGCGUAUGGAGCAAACAGG